AGCAGCCGCGGUAAUUCCAGCUCCAAUAGCGUAUAUUAAAGUUGUUGCAGUUAAAAAGCUCGUAGUUGAAUUUCGGGAUUGACACAUCGGUCGUGCCUUAAGGGGUAUGAACUGGUGUAGUCAAUUUCUCACCUUCUGGGGAACCGCGAUGCCCUUAAUUGGGUGCCGCGGGGAACCAGGACCUUUACUUUGAAAAACUUAGAGUGUUUAAAGCAGGCAUUUUGCUUGAAUACAUUAGCAUGGAAUAAUAAAAUAGGACGGCAUGAUUCUAUUUUGUUGGUUUCUAGGAUCACCGUAAUGAUUAAUAGGGAUAGUUGGGGGCAUUAGUAUUCAAUUGUCAGAGGUGAAAUUCUUGGAUUUAUUGAAGACUAACUACUGCGAAAGCAUUUGCCAAGGAUGUUUUCAUUAAUCAAGAACGAAAGUUAGGGAUCGAAGACGAUCAGAUACCGUCGUAGUCUUAACCAUAAACUAUGCCGACUAGGAAUCAGACGAUGUUUAAUUUUUAAUGUACUCGUUUGGC
rnacentral:misc_RNA from 1 species